rnacentral:lncRNA from 1 species
CUUCAAUAUCCAUUUAGUUUGGAUAUUCAUCAGGAAAAAUAAGAAAAGACAAUCAUAAGAAUAUAGCAACCAAAAUCCAUCGGCACCCAUCAGCUUUAAGACAUCAUAUGGGAAGAAAAAAAAGAGGUCAGUCCCUUCAAUAUCCAUUUAGUUUGGAUCAUCAUCAGAAAAAAUAAGAAGGUAACCAUAAAAAUAUUGUAAUUAAAGCCCAUCGGCACCCAUC